rnacentral:rRNA from 1 species
GUCUACCGCCCUACCACCCUGAAAGUGCCUGAUCUUGUCUGAUCUCAGAAGCUAAGCAGGGUUGGGCCUGGUUAGUACUUGGAAGGAAGAAUGGAGGUUAAUA